rnacentral:sRNA from 1 species
ACAAGGUGUGGGGGCACAUACCUAUAGUCCUAGCUUCUCAGAGGUUGAGGUGGGAGGAUCACUUGAGCUCGUGAGUUCUGAGACCAACCUGGGCAACGUGGUGAGAUCCCAUCUCAA